AGCAGCCGCGGUAAUUCCAGCUCCAAUAGCGUAUAUUAAAGUUGUUGCAGUUAAAAAGCUCGUAGUUGAAUUUCGGGGUCAGUAGGUUGGUCGCGCCACUGGUAUGUACUGGCUUCACUGAUUCCUCCCUCUUGUAGAACCGUAAUGCCAUUAAUUUGGUGUUGCGGGGAAACAGGACUGUUACUUUGAAAAAUUAGAGUGUUUAAAGCAGGCUAACGCUUGAAUACAUUAGCAUGGAAUAAUGAAAUAGGACGUUUGAUCCUAUUUUGUUGGUUUCUAGGAUUGACGUAAUGAUUAAUAGGGAUAGUUGGGGGCAUUAGUAUUCAAUUGUCAGAGGUGAAAUUCUUGGAUUUAUUGAAGACUAACUACUGCGAAAGCAUUUGCCAAGGAUGUUUUCAUUAAUCAAGAACGAAAGUUAGGGGAUCGAAGACGAUCAGAUACCGUCGUAGCCUUAACCAUAAACUAUGCCGACUAGGAUCGGAUGAUGUUAAUUUUAAUGUACUCAUUCGGCGCCUUACGG
rnacentral:rRNA from 1 species